GAUGAACGCUGGCGGCGUGCCUAAUACAUGCAAGUCGAGCGAACAGAUGAGGAGCUUGCUCCUCUGACGUUAGCGGCGGACGGGUGAGUAACACGUGGAUAACCUACCUAUAAGACUGGGAUAACUUCGGGAAACCGGAGCUAAUACCGGAUAAUAUAUUGAACCGCAUGGUUCAAUAGUGAAAGACGGUUUUGCUGUCACUUAUAGAUGUAUCCGCGCCGCAUUAGCUAGUUGGUAAGGUAACGGCUUACCAAGGCAACGAUGCGUAGCCGACCUGAGAGGGGGGUGGGCCACACUGGAACUGAGACGCGGUCCAGACUCCUACGGGAGGCAGCAGUAGGGAAUCUUCCGCAAUGGGCGAAAGCAUGACGGAGCAACGCCGCGUGAGUGAUGAAGGUCUUCGGAUCGUAAAACUCUGUUAUUAGGGAAGAACAAAUGUGUAAGUAACUAUGCACGUCUUGACGGUACCUAAUCAGAAAGCCACGGCUAACUACGUG
rnacentral:rRNA from 1 species